rnacentral:rRNA from 1 species
UCAGGUAAGUUAACGCCGAGAUUGAAUGCAUCAGUUCCCUUCUGAUCACUCAAGUCAAGCAACGUUGUUCGUGGUUGGUAUCCAGAUGGGUAACCAUCAAGACAAGCGCGUGCUGCAUGCU